CCGCAUCCCGUCUCCCCGGCAACGCGGGCCCGGCCCGGCCCGGCCGCCAUUGCAGUCGCGGCUGCAGAAGGAAGCGAGCGCUUCCCCCACCUCCCCAUCCCCGGCAGCAGCCGCAGCGGGAUCCCGCCCCCCCCCCCUGCAGUAAAACCAAGGAACUGAUUGGUGGCUUUAGCAGAGGAAGGCCGUGGAUCUACAAACCUGUAUUCAUCGACGGGUUGAAGGUGGAGUGAGCAAGAACUCAGGUGUACAGCAGAGGGCAUAUUGACUGGUUGUAUCGGCAACUCAAAUGCCCAGGAA